rnacentral:tRNA from 1 species
GCCGUGGUGGCCAACCGGGUGGGGCGGGCCCUGGAGGUCUACCGGGAGCUCGGCAGGGCGUUUCCGGGGAGGGUCCUCCUCCUCACGGGCC